AGCCAAAAGUUCCAACAGCAGUAUUGUGCAACUGCAGGAUGUUAGAUGUGUGGGAGUUCCUGGGGAGCUCAAGCCAGAGCCGCAUUAAAGCCAGUCCCAGCCAGGCUUAAGGAGAGCUGGAAUGGAGAGGAUUCUCAUCUAACAUCUGGGUUGCAGUUGUAUGUUAACAUGGACUUCCUAGGAAGUAACAUAUCAAACAAAAGGGAAAGUGAUCAACCAGCAGCAGGUACCAGCCACAGUUAACUGCACCUGCUAGGAGCUCUGAAAGACUUUUUUUUUUUUUAAACGAAUAAAGAAAUUCUCAUUUCACUCUCCUCCACACUGGACUCGCUGAAGAAAGAGCUACUCUCUGAUGAAGUUGGUGGUGCUGUGGAAGAGGACCGCCGCCUCCUGGACGAGGACCGGGACCGCUCAGCAUUGUCUGACUGACAGGAAAGGACCCAGAUAAGAUCCUGGAGGCAAUGGGAUGUGUGGCUGCUCAACACAGACCGACCACACUUGCUCACUGCCGUGUCAUCUCAUACCCUUCCACCCUGGACAUACAUACCUUCUCACAUGCACCAAGACUCUGUGCAUGGAGAGAAUCCUCAAACCAACAGAAAAAUGAUUGACACAGAAGCCAAGUGCCAGCACUGCGUAUAAGUAACACUACCACCAUCCACAGUGAAGUUAAAAGGAGUUCGAGUAAAUUCUUAGAUCCAUCUUCAUACUUCCACUUCCUCAGACAGCCGGGAGAGCCACCUUUCAGAAGCUUUUUUCAUCUGAUCCUCAUGUCCUUUCAAAGGUGAUUUUGUCUCUUGAGGGAUUUCUGGUUGUCACAAGUUGGGGGUAGUGCUACUGGCAUCUAGUGUGUAGAAGUCAAGUAUGGUGAGAAACAUCCAGAACACACAGGACAGUCCCACAUGAAAAAGAAUUAUUCAGCCAAAAAAGUCACGAGUGCCAAGGUUGAGAGGCCCUGGAAUACAGCAACUACACUAUAAAACCAACUUGGAAUGUCUCCCAAAUGAAACUGGUUGACCUCGGUGAACUUCAUAAAAAAAUUUUUAUCAAAGGGAUGUUCACAAGUUUUGAGAACAAAUUUAGGAGUUUGAAGAAAAUGAGAGUAAGUCAUGGAGAGUAGAAGACAUUCCAAAGUGGUAAAUGUAGGCUGAAAAUGUAGCAUCUGAACCUGGGAGGCUCUGACCAUCUACUAUAAACGUGGACCUACUAACUGCAAUGAAGUAUCACAGGACUGUCUGAUAGACCAUUGUUCUGAUCUCUUGAAAAAGAGACUCUGUGUGGUACUCUAAGAAUUACAGUCCUCCCGCUCCGUGAUCAAGGUGUGCUCAUUCCAAGUUGUGAGAGUCUUCUGUGCUGAAAGACGAGCAACUACUUGCUGGGGCACCGAUUGGAGGGUCCAGGCAAGGUCAAGGUGGCCUCUGCUGAGAUCUUUCUGGAAAGAAAUCAAAAUCCUAACAGGAGUGGAAAAUCACUGGAAUCAAGAGCCUUGAGUUAUGCAAGAUGAAGCUGGCUCACUUCCGAAAGCUUUCUAGGUUCAAGCAAAUGAAAAUUCCUACGUAGAACAAACAAUGACAAGAAGUCUUAGCCUCCAGCACUUCACAGUUUCAAGCUAUGUUUCUAGGGAAGCAGAACAUUCCUGAAUGUCAUUGCAUUAUUCCUCGGGGAGAGAUAAGAAGCAGAGUCAGAAAACUGAGCCACCAAACCCAGCGAGCUGAGAGAGUUCUCAGAUGAAGAUGAUUCCAGACAGGCUGAGGAGAAUGAGCACAGAUUUUCUGGGAAGGUAAUGCAGGAAUCAAUAGGAUGGAAUACUGCAAAGGGAAGCUUGGAGAGAGAAUAGCCUCUGCACUUUGACUGUUUUGCAGUUAACCAAAGGCCAUCGAGGAUCAGAAUUACAAAAAUCAAACAGACCCAUGAGCUUGAGCUCAGUUGUGCAAAAUGUUUGUCAGUCAUCUCUCUUCAAAACAAACACAGGACAUCUUCUUAAAUUCUACCUCUGUUAAACUAUACUUCCCAAACAAGAACCUAUCAAACCC